GCGAAAAUAGUGCAGCUGGUCAAGCACGCUUUCCGGAAAAGAAUAAAUGUGGGUUCGAGUCCCGCAGCCUAUUUUUCGCU